rnacentral:rRNA from 1 species
AUCUGGGCGGCGGAAUUCAGGAUGACGAGCGUGCCCUCGCGGGUACGCUGGUCGUUUGAUAUUUCCGUCGCCGAUCAACCGCAGACGUCGCGACCUGUUCGCGGCCGGUCCCUGCUCGGAGGAGCUGCGUUCGAGUUUGUUGCGUGCGCGUUUCGGCGUGUCACGCGGCAAAGGCGCGGAUCUCUGGCCGGCCGUCGGACAGUACGCUCAACGGUGUCCGGUGUCGUCGUCUCGUACGCGCGCGCACCGGUACCGGUCAGCGACGAAUUCUUCGGGCCUCUUUCCGACCCGUCUUGAAACACGGACCAAGGAGUCUAACAUGCGCGCGAGUCGCGGGGUGUCGAGCGUACUUCAGGUGCGUUCGUUACGUUGCGAAACCCGUACAUGUCGAAGGCGUAAUGAAAGUGAAUGGGGAAGAUGGUGUUCCGAGUUCACGUUCCGCGAUCGCUGGUAUCGCGGCCGGACACCCGCAUUCCCGGGGCGUCUCAACGGCCCGUCGCUGAUGCGGACAGUCGUCUCUCGGGGCGGUUGUCGGUCGGCGAUGAACCGA